CUGAAGCCAAACAAGAAAAAAGUCUUAGGCUUAUUCACUAAACUGCUAUAGCUCCAGCAUUGAUAGUGGAAAUUCCUCUGCAGUAUCCUGUUAAUGCACUUCAACCCUGACCUGAAAGAACCUUUAUGGCUCACAGAAUAGUUUAAUUUUCGUGCCCAUUCAAUCUUUGGCCUCU
ensembl:misc_RNA